GUCAUUAUCGCAGCUUCUUGUUUGGCAGGAUGUGAUGUAGCCUGCACGUGUUAAAGGUCAAAUCUUCUGUCAAAAUGUCAACUACACCUGAUGAUUCUAAGAUGGGCAAGCUUGUAUUCUGUGUCUUCAUAUUCUUCAUUAGUCAGACAGCAUCUAUCAGCAGCUCGCCACCUGCGCCCACAAACGCUACAUCAGCAAAAAGCAGUUCCUCAUUAUCUACAAGCAGUACGGUCCUAACGAGCACCAGCCAAACAACCACAAGUUCCAACAGACAAAUAGUAAAUCACCAACAACACAAACAGUAAGCUCCCCAGCAGCCACAUCGACAACCAUCAGUACAUCAUCGAUAACGACCAGUGAACCAGCAACAAUCUCAACUGAAGGCAAUGUCACCUCUAACGAAACAUACACAACAGUCAGCGAGGUCACAUUUACCAGUGAAUUAUUGACAUCCAUCGAAAUGUCAUCAGCAUCCACCAACAAACUGUUCACUGUCUCCGAUGAAUCGUUACCAACAACUGCCUCGCUAGAACCUUCCAACAGUAAUGACCUCUCGACCAUGACUACAAGUUCGCCCACUGUCAUCACUAAAACAUCUACCAUUCUCACAUCACUGACUACGGCUCACCAAUCAACAGGAUCCACGUCUUCACGUGACUCGGGGGUGGAGUUACGCCAGGGGUCAUCGGUGGGAGUGUGAUGGGAGUUGCUGCUCUUGUUUUCCUUGUUGGUUUUGUCUUCGUCAUCUACAAGAAACGACGGGGUCCAGUCGCAUUCCUGGCGGUCAGUACUGACACAGACGAUUUACAAGAACUCAUGGAGACGUAGCUGUUACACACGCUGUUGAACAUGUGUGUGAUAAUGAAAUAAAAUGCUACACAUAAAUGUAUUCCUCGACCCCUGUUGUUCUUUAGGAAAAAUUUGUUAUAUCGGGACAUUUUGAACGUUUCUGAAAUGAUGGUUAAGGAAGAAAUGUGAAUGCUUGUUCACAUUUUUGUUUCGAUGCAAUUGAUCAUGUCUAAUUAUGAUCUACUCGCUCUUCUAAUCAGCAUCAAAUAUAAAACUCUGAUAAUACUAGCGAUGUUCGAGGAUACAUUUCUGUGUUCACGUGCACAUUUAUAGCUUUGAAAACAUUGAACGAGACGAAGAAGCAGACACAGAGAUUAAGGUUGACAGUAUAACAAAA
rnacentral:misc_RNA from 1 species